UCCCUACGGGGGGCAGCAGUGAGGAAUAUUGGUCAAUGGGCGCGAGGCUGAACCAGCCAAGUCGCGAGAGGGGAGACGGUCCUAUGGAUUGUAAACCUCUUUUGUCGGGGAGCAAAAGACGCCACGCGUGGCGUUCCGAGAGUACCCGAAGAAAAAGCAUCGGAUAACUCCGUGCCAGCAGCCGCGGAAAUACGGAGGAUGCGAGCGUUAUCCGGAUUUAUUGGGUUUAACGGGUGCGCAGGCGGA
rnacentral:rRNA from 1 species